UUUACAUUUUCCUCUAUUAACCUGGGCUGUGCAGUUAAGCAUCAUCAGCGUCAGCGACGCACGCACAGGUAACAGCUGAAAACCAUGCAAACCAUUCCCGUGACGCACAAGUGCUCAGUGUGAUAUACUUUUUUUCCAAGAAAGAUUGUGGACGGGAGGAAAAAAUGCAAAAAUAUGAUAUAAAAUUACCAAGUAUAAUUACAGGAAGAAAUUGAAUAUGCUGCAGUGGUAAACAGAAAUUAGUUCUAAUCGUUUCCGAAUCAAAACGUCCUGAAAUUUGGGAACUUUGAAAUGCGAUCUACAAUUUAUGCAGUGAAUGAAUAUUUUAACGCAAACAAUUUCGCAAAGGAUUUACACUACUAAUUACAG